rnacentral:rRNA from 1 species
CCCUUAGAUGUUCUGGGCCGCACGCGUGCUACACUGAGUAAUUCAAUGGGUAAGGGAACGCUAGAGCAUUACCUAAUCUUGAAAUUUGCUCGUGAUGGGGAUCGACGGUUGCAAUUUUCCGUCGUGAACGAGGAAUACCUUGUAGGCGCAUGUCAUCAUCAUGCGCCGAAUACGUCCCUGCCCUUUGUACAUACCGCCCGUCGCUCCUACCGAUUGAGUGAUCCGGUGAGGCUCUGGGACCUGGACGGAAAGAGCGUUUCGCUUGUUCUGUUUGGGAAACUUGGUCGAACCUUAUCAUUUAGAGGAAGGAGAAGUCGUAACA